rnacentral:rRNA from 1 species
AGCAGCCGCGGUAAUUCCAGCUCCAAUAGCGUAUAUUAAAGUUGUUGCAGUUAAAAAGCUCGUAGUUGAAUUUCGGGAUCAAUUUGUUGGUCGUGCCUCGGUACGUACUGGCAUUAUUGGUUUCUACCUUCUGAAGAACCUUGAUGUCAUUAAUUUGGUGUCUUGGGGAAUCAGGACUGUUACUUUGAAAAAAUUAGAGUGUUUAAAGCAGGCAUACGCUUGAAUACAUUAGCAUGGAAUAAUGAAAUAGGGCGUUUGAUUCUAUUUUGUUGGUUUCUAGGAUCGACGUAAUGAUUAAUAGGGAUAGUUGGGGGUAUUAGUAUUCAAUUGUCAGAGGUGAAAUUCUUGGAUUUAUUGAAGACUAACUACUGCGAAAGCAUUUGCCAAGGAUGUUUUCAUUAAUCAAGAACGGAAGUUAGGGGAUCGAAGACGAUCAGAUACCGUCGUAGUCUUAACCAUAAACUAUGCCGACUAGGGAUCGGAUGAUGUUAUUUUUAAUGACUCAUUCGGCGCCUUACGG